rnacentral:rRNA from 1 species
GAUUAGCUAGUAGGUAGUGUAACGGACUACCUAGGCGAUGAUCAGUAGGGGUUYUGAGAGGAUGAUCCCCCACACUGGCACUGAGAUACGGGCCAGACUCCUACGGGAGGCAGCAGUAGGGAAUAUUGGUCAAUGGGCGAGAGCCUGAACCAGCCAUGCCGCGUGCAGGAAGACGGCCUUCUGGGUUGUAAACUGCUUUUAUCAGGGAACAAAAAGGCCAUGCGUGGCAAAUUGCGUGUACCUGAAGAAUAAGCACCGGCUAACUCCGUGCCAGCAGCCGCGGUAAUACGGAGGGUGCAAGCGUUGUCCGGAUUUAUUGGGUUUAAAGGGUGCGUAGGUGGUUAUUUAAGUCAGUGGUGAAAUCCCGCAGCUCAACUGUGGAACUGCCAUUGAAACUGGAUAACUUGAGUAUAGACGAGGUAGGCGGAAUUCAUGGUGUAGCGGUGAAAUGCAUAGAUACCAUGAAGAACACCGAUAGCGAAGGCAGCUUACUAGGCUAUAACUGACACUGAGGCACGAAAGCGUGGGGAGCGAACAGGAUUAGAUACCCUGGUAGUCCACGCUGUAAACGAUG